GAUCAUUACCUUUCAAUGCAGAAGAGUUGAGAUGGUUGAGUAUCUCGCCUCUCAAUUCUCGCUGUAUUUUACCCUUGUUUUUCUCAUACUAUUAUUUCCUCGGCAGGCUCGCCUGCCGGGUGAAACAACUUCAAACCUGUUUAAUUUUCAAUUAGCGUCUGAACAAAUUAAUAAUUACAACUUUCAACAACGGAUCUCUUGGUUCUGGCAUCGAUGAAGAACGCAGCGAAAUGCGAUAAGUAGUGUGAAUUGCAGAAUUCAGUGAAUCAUCGAAUCUUUGAACGCACAUUGCGCCCCUUGGUAUUNCCAUGGGGCAUGCCUGUUCGAGCGUCAUUUGUACCUUCAAGCUCUGCUUGGUGUUGGGUGUUUGUCCUUGCUCUAGUGGCGGGACUCGCCUUAAAGUAAUUGGCAGCCAGUGUUUUGGUUUUGAAGCGCAGCACAAGUCGCGAUUCAAGUCUAUAC
rnacentral:misc_RNA from 1 species